ACUUUCUGUGUCCAGACGUCUGAGGAUCACAGAGCUUAAGUCAUUUCACAGAUCAAAGAGGAAUUCAGGAGAACAACAACCAUUCCAGUGGAUCAAACCAGGCAAAAACUUGACAAAUACACACGAAAGCUGAUGAAAGCCAGGGGAGGAGUUUUGGGGCCCAAGACGAGUUUGCUCCUGGACCAACUGAGUCAGAAACAGAGCAUUGAGGUGAGAAGAGAAGCCAUUAUCUCCAGCCUUAUACUGUACCAUGGGAAGAAGGAAUAUGACUUUUUUAGGACUGCUUGGUCAUGUUUUCAAACAUUUAAAAAUAAUUUUGAACAAGGGGUUCAUUUAAAGGGACAUAGUGUUUGAAAGCACAUAUAAAGCCUUAAAUGGCCAAGCUCCAUCUUAUAUCAGAGAUCUGAUUGUUCCUUAUGUUCCUAACAGAGCACUUCGCUCUGUUAGGCUAGGCUUAAAACUUUCCUUUUUGAUA